UCCAAUUGAAGCAGAGGACAGUGGCGGACGGGUGAGUAACGCGUGAGGAACCUGCCUUUCAGAGGGGGACAACAGUUGGAAACGACUGCUAAUACCGCAUGACACAUAGGUGUCGCAUGGCACUUAUGUCAAAGAUUUAUCGCUUCAAGAUGGCCUCGCGUCUGAUUAGCUAGUUGGCGGGGUAACGGCCCACCAAGGCGACGAUCAGUAGCCGGACUGAGAGGUUGAACGGCCACAUUGGGACUGAGAUACGGCCCAGACUCC
rnacentral:rRNA from 1 species